GAUGAACGCUGGCGGCGUGCCUAAUACAUGCAAGUCGAGCGAACAGAUGAGGAGCUUGCUCCUCUGACGUUGUCGCCGGACGGGUGAGUAACAUGUGGUUAACCUACCUCUAAGACUGGGAUAAUUUCGGGAAACCGGAGCUACUAACGGAUAAUAUAUUGAAUUGCGUUGUGCAAUCGUUGAAGUAGGUUUUUCUGACACUAAUAGCUGGCUACGGGUCGCAUCGGCUAGUUGGUAAGGUAACGGAUUAGCAAGGCAACGAGGGGGAACCGGCCCAAGCGGGUGAUCGGCCACAUGGGAACUGAGACAGAGUCCAGACUCCGACAGGAGGCAACAGUAGAGAAUCUUACGCAAGGCGGGAAAGCCGAACAGAGCAAAGCCGCGUAAAUGAUGAAGGUCUUAGGAUCGUAAAGCGCUGAAGUUAGGAAAGAAGAAAAGUUUAAGUAACUAUGCACGUCUUGACAGUACCGAAUCAGAAAGCCCCGGCUAACUACGUG
rnacentral:rRNA from 1 species